GCUGGGUGUGGUGGUGCGUGCCUGUAGACCCAGCUGCUCGGGAGGCUGAGGCAGGAGGAUCGCUUGAGCCUGGGAGGUCGAGGUUGCGGUGAGCCAUGAUCAUGCCACUGCACUCCAGCCUGGGCAACAGAGUGAGACCCUGUCUCAA
rfam:Gorilla gorilla gorilla genomic chromosome, chr2A, whole genome shotgun sequence